rnacentral:rRNA from 1 species
AGAGUUUGAUCAUGGCUCAGAACGAACGUUGGCGGCGUGGAUUAGGCAUGCAAGUCGUGCGUGAACGGGGCUUCGGCCCCUAGUAAAGCGGCGAACGGGUGAGUAACGCGUGGGGAACCUGCCUUUGGGUGGGGGAUAACACUCCUAACGGGGUGCUAAUACCGCAUGACAUCCCUUGGUCGCAUGACCGGGGGAUCAACGGUGGCCUCUGCUUGCAAGCUAUCGCCCAAAGAUGGCCCCGCGUCCGAUUAGCUAGUUGGUGAGGUAAUGGCUCACCAAGGCUACGAUCGGUAGCUGGUCUGAGAGGAUGGUCAGCCACACUGGGACUGAGAUACGGCCCAGACUCCUACGGGAGGCAGCAGUCGAGAGGCUUCGGCAAUGGGGGAAACCCUGACCGAGCGACGCCGCGUGAGGGAUGACGCCCUUCGGGGUGUAAACCUCUUUUCUGAGGGAAGAACCCCGGGGAGUCGAAUAGGCUUUCCGGCUGACGGUACCUUAGGAAUAAGCUCCGGCCAACUCCGUGCCAGCAGCCGCGGUAACACGGGGGGAGCAAACGUUGUUCGGAAUUACUGGGCGUAAAGGGCGCGUAGGCGGCCUCGUAAGUGGUGUGUGAAAUGUCCUGGCUCAACCAGGGAAUUGCGCUCCAAACUGCGGGGCUUGAGGGCAGUAGAGGAAGCUGGAAUUCCAGGUGUAGCGGUGAAAUGCGUAGAUAUCU